AUUGAACGCUGGCGGCAGGCUUAACACAUGCAAGUCGAACGAGCGGCGGCCGGGUGAGUAAUGUAUGGGGAUCUGCCUGAUGGAGGGGGAUAACUACUGGACACGGUAGCUAAUACCGCAUACCAUCAGAUGAACCCAUAUGGGAUUAGCUUGUAGGUGAGGUAACGGCUCACCUAGGCGACGAUCCCUAGCUGGUCUUAGAGGAUGAUCAGCCACACGGGGACUGGGACACGGACCAGACUCCUACGGGAGGAAGCAGUGGGGAAUAUUGCACAAUGUGCGCAAGCCUGAUGCAGCCAUGCCGCGUGUAUGAAGAAGGCCUUCGGGUUGUAAAGUACUUUCAGUCGGGAGGCGUUACCGACAGAAGAAGCACCGGCUAACUCCGUGCCAGCAGCCGCGGUAAUAC
rnacentral:rRNA from 1 species